GAUCAUGGCUCAGGAUGAACGCUGGCGGCGUGCUUAACACAUGCAAGUCGAGCGAAGCAAUCUAAGUGAAGUUUUCGGAUGGGUCUUGGAUUGACUGAGCGGCGGACGGGUGAGUAACGCGUGGAUAACCUGCCUCACACAGGGGGAUAACAGUUAGAAAUGACUGCUAAUACCGCAUAAGCGCACGGCAUCGCAUGAUGCGGUGCGAAAAACUCCGGUGGUGUG
rnacentral:rRNA from 1 species